rnacentral:rRNA from 1 species
CCAAAAACAUCUCUCUUUGUAUAAUAUAAAUAAAGAGUUGGGCCUGCUCGGUGAAACGUUUUAACAGCUGCGGUAUUUUAACUGUACUAAGGUAGCAUAAUAAUUUGCCUUAUAAUUUGAGGCUAGAAUGAAUGGUUUGACGAAGGUUAAUCUGUCUCUGCUUUAUUUUUUAGAAAUUAAUUUUCAUAGUGAAAAAGCUUGAAUUUCUUAAGGGGACGAGAAGACCCUACUGAGCUUAUAAUUUUAUUAUCACAUAUAUUUAUGUAUAAUGUGCUAUAUAAAUUUUAAUUGGGGUGAUUAAGGAAUAAUAUAGCUAUUUUAUAACUUCCUUAGAUAUUAUAUUGUUGAAUUAAGUAACCGAUUAAUUAAUAGAAUUGUAUUAUGUAUUGCUUAUAAUAUAGUUACCAUAGGGAUAACAGCGUAAUUUACUUAGAGAGUUCUUAUUGAAAAGUAAGAUUGCGACCUCGAUGUUGGAUUAAAGUGACCUUAAGGUGCAG